rnacentral:rRNA from 1 species
AUUGAACGCUGGCGGCCGGCCUAACACAUGCAAGUCGAACGAGUGGCGGACGGGUGAGCUAUGUCUGGGAAACUGCCCGAUGGAGGGCGAUAACUACUGGAAACGGUAGCUACAACCGUCUACCAUCGGAUGUGCCCAGAUGGGAUUAGCUAGUAGGUGGGGUAACGGCUCACCUAGGCGACGAACCCUAGCUGGUCUGAGAGGAUGACCAGCCACACUGGAACUGAGACACGGUCCAGAUUCCUACGGGAGGCAGCAGUGGGGAAUAGUGCACAAUGGGCGCAAGCCUGAUGCAGCCAUGCCGCGUGUAUGAAGAAGGCCUUCGGGUUGUAAAGUACUUUCAGCUGGGAGGCGUUACUCGCAGAAGAAGCACCGGCUAACUCCGUGCCAGCAGCCGCGGUAAUUC